rnacentral:rRNA from 1 species
GUGAGGAAUAUUGGUCAAUGGGCGCAAGCCUGAACCAGCCAUGCCGCGUGCAGGAAGACGGUCCUAUGGAUUGUAAACUACUUUUAUUUGGGAAUAAACUCCGGUACGUGUACCGGCCUGAAGGUACCAAAUGAAUAAGCACCGGCUAACUCCGUGCCAGCAGCCGCGGUAAUACGGAGGGUGCAAGCGUUAUCCGGAAUCAUUGGGUUUAAAGGGUCCGCAGGCGGUCUUAUAAGUCAGUGGUGAAAGCCUACAGCUCAACUGUAGAACUGCCAUUGAUACUGUAGGACUUGAAUUCGAUCGAAGUGGGCGGAAUGUGACAUGUAGCGGUGAAAUGCUUAGAUAUGUCACAGAACACCGAUAGCGAAGGCAGCUCACUAGGUCUGGAUUGACGCUCAGGGACGAAAGCGUGGGGAGCAAACAGGAUUAGAAACCCGAGUAGUCC